UGCAGAGCAGCAAGAAAAGAAGCACGUAAGAUGGAUAAAAAAGAGGGAGUUCUGCAGCAGGAUUCCCAUCGUGCUGAACACAGGACUGCGUGACUGCUCCACGCAGGCAGAGGGAGAGAGGGAAGAGAGAGGAGAGAAGGCAGAAAGGUAGGAAGGAAGAAAGAAGGGGGAGGGGAGACAUUUCAGCGCAGUGCAAGCUGAGUGGUUGAGUAGCAGCAGCGCGCAGCAUCAGGACCAGCUGUAGCAUCUUCUUUUGUGGUUGCUGGUGGAGGCUGCGUUGAAGCUGGACACAGACACUCCUGCUGUUCACCUUAUACACACCCUCAUGGCGUGGUGGCCACCAGAGAAGACGGAGUGAGCGGCGGGGCUCGGGGAACCGAGCAUCUAAGGAAGUUAGUCCAAAGGAGAGGAGGGCUGGAGUGACGGAGACAGGAGUAGCAGCAGCAGCAGCAGCGGCACCAUGGCGCAAGCUGCCAAGCAGCUCCGCAAGACCAAGGACCUCGCGGAGGCCGCCGCCCAAGAGCAGAGGGAGAAGGAAGAGGAAAAGAUUAAAAAAAGGAAUCGAUCCAGGGACCGCAGGCGCAAGGCGGAUGCCACCACC